rnacentral:rRNA from 1 species
UACGUAGGGUGCGAGCGUUAAUCGGAAUUACUGGGCGUAAAGGGAGCGCAGGCGGAUAUAUAAGUUAGAUGUGAAAUCCCCGAGCUUAACUUGGGAACUGCAUUUAAGACUGUAUGUCUAGAGUUUAUUAGAGGGGGGUAGAAUUCCAAGUGUAGCAGUGAAAUGCGUAGAGAUUUGGAGGAAUACCAGUGGCGAAGGCGGCCCCCUGGGAUAGAACUGACGCUCAUGCUCGAAAGCGUGGGUAGCAAACAGG